AACGAACGCUGGCGGCAGGCUUAACACAUGCAAGUCGAACGCCCCGCAAGGGGAGUGGCAGACGGGUGAGUAACGCGUGGGAACAUACCCUUUCCUGCGGAAUAGCUCUGGGAAACUGGAAUUAAUACCGCAUACGCCCUACGGGGGAAAGAGUUAUCGGGGAAGGAUUGGCCCGCGUUGGAUUAGCUAGUUGGUGGGGUAAAGGCCUACCAAGGCGACGAUCCAUAGCUGGUCAGAGAGGAUGAUCAGCCACAUUGGGACUGAGACGCGGCCCAAACUCCGACGGGAGGCAGCAGUGGGGAAUAUUGGACAAUGGGCGCAAGCCUGAUCCAGCCAUGCCGCGUGAGUGAUGAAGGCCUUAGGGUUGUAAAGCUCUUUCACCGAUGAAGAUAAUGACGGUAGUCGGAGAAGAAGCCCCGGCUAACUUCGUGCCAGCCGCCGCAGUAACAC
rnacentral:rRNA from 1 species